rnacentral:rRNA from 1 species
UACGUAGGGGCCUAGCGUUGUCCGGAUUUAUUGGGCGUAAAGAGCUCGUAGGCGGUUUGGUUAGUCAGGUGUGAAAUCUCCACGCUCAACGUGGAGGGGCCACCUGAUACUGCCAUGACUUGAGUCCGGUAGGGGAGUGUGGAAUUCCCGGUGUAGCGGUGAAAUGCGCAGAUAUCGGGAAGAACACCCGUGGCGAAGGCGGCUCUCUGGGACGGUACUGACGCUGAGACGCGAAAGCGUGGGGAGCGAACAGG